AAGCAUAUCAAUAAGCGGAGGAAAAGAAACCAACCGGGAUUACCUCAGUAACGGCGAGUGAAGCGGUAAUAGCUCAAAUUUGAAAUCUGGCUUCGGUCCGAGUUGUAAUUUGUAGAAGAUGCUUCGGGUGUGGCUCCGGUCUAAGUUCCUUGGAACAGGACGUCAUAGAGGGUGAGAAUCCCGUAUGUGACUGGGUGCCUUCGCCUAUGUGAAGCUCUUUCGACGAGUCGAGUUGUUUGGGAAUGCAGCUCAAAAUGGGUGGUAUAUUUCAUCUAAAGCUAAAUAUUGGCCAGAGACCGAUAGCGCACAAGUAGAGUGAUCGAAAGAUGAAAAGCACUUUGGAAAGAGAGUUAAACAGUACGUGAAAUUGUUGAAAGGGAAGCGUUUGCAACCAGACUUGCACGUUGCCGAUCAUCCGGUGUUCUCACCGGUGCACUCGGUUUCGUUCAGGCCAGCAUCGGUUUGGGUGGUUGGAUAAAGGCCUUGGGAAUGUGGCUUCCUUCGGGGAGUGUUAUAGCCCAAGGUGCAAUGCAGCCUACCUGGACCGAGGACCGCGCUUCGGCUAGGAUGCUGGCGUAAUGGUUGUAAACGACCCGUCUUGAAACACGGACCAAGGAGUCUAACAUCUAUGCGAGUAUUUGGGUGUUAAACCCAUAUGCGUAAUUAACGUGAACGGAGGUAAGAGCCCUUAAGGGUGCAUUAUCGACCGGUCCUGAUGUCUUCGGAAGGAUCUGAGUAAGAGCAUAGCUGUUGGGACCCGAAAGAUGGUGAACUAUGCCUGAAUAGGGUGAAGCCAGAGGAAACUCUGGUGGAGGCUCGCAGCGGUUCUGACGUGCAAAUCGAUCGUCAAAUUUGGGUAUAGGGGCGAAAGACUAAUCGAACCAUCUAGUAGCUGGUUCCUGCCGAAGUUCCCCC
rnacentral:rRNA from 1 species